rnacentral:rRNA from 1 species
AUUGAACGCUGGAGGCAGGCCUAACACAUGCAAGUCGAGCGAGCGGCGGACGGGUGAGUAAUGUAUGGGGACUGCCCGAUAGAGGGGGAUAACUACUGGAAACGGUGGCUAAUACCGCAUACUAUCGGAUAACCCAGAGUGGAUUACCUAGUAGGUGGGGUAAAGGCGCACCUAGGCGACGAUCUCUAGCUGGUCUGAGAGGAUGAUCAGCCACACUGGGACUGAGACACGGCCCCGACUCCUCCGGAGGCAGCAGUGGGGAAUAUUGCACAAUGGGCGCAAGCCUGAUGCAGCCAUGCCGCGUGUAGGAAGAAGGCCUUAGGGUUGUAAAGUACUUUCAGCGGGGAGGCGUUACCCGCAGAAGAAGCACCGGCUACCUCCGUGCCAGCAGCCUCGGUAAUUC